rnacentral:tRNA from 1 species
GCGUGCGUAAUUUAAAUAAAAUAUCAAGUUGUGACCUUGAACACAGAGACUUGUCUCUCGCACACC